rnacentral:rRNA from 1 species
UACGUAGGGUGCAAGCGUUGUCCGGAAUUAUUGGGCGUAAAGAGCUCGUAGGCGGUCUGUCACGUCGGCUGUGAAAACCCGGGGCUCAACCCCGGGCCUGCAGUCGAUACGGGCAGACUAGAGUGCGGUAGGGGAGACUGGAAUUCCUGGUGUAGCGGUGAAAUGCGCAGAUAUCAGGAGGAACACCGGUGGCGAAGGCGGCCUGCUGGGCAGUUACUGACACUGAGGCGCGACAGCGUGGGAGCAAACAGG